rnacentral:rRNA from 1 species
AUAAUGGGUCAGCGACUUAUAUUCUGUAGCAAGGUUAACCGAAUAGGGGAGCCGAAGGGAAACCGAGUCUUAACUGGGCGUUAAGUUGCAGGGUAUAGACCCGAAACCCGGUGAUCUAGCCAUGGGCAGGUUGAAGGUUGGGUAACACUAACUGGAGGACCGAACCGACUAAUGUUGAAAAAUUAGCGGAUGACUUGUGGCUGGGGGUGAAAGGCCAAUCAAACCGGGAGAUAGCUGGUUCUCCCCGAAAGCUAUUUAGGUAGCGCCUCGUGAAUUCAUCUCCGGGGGUAGAGCACUGUUUCGGCAAGGGGGUCAUCCCGACUUACCAACCCGAUGCAAACUGCGAAUACCGGAGAAUGUUAUCACGGGAGACACACGGCGGGUGCUAACGUCCGUCGUGAAGAGGGAAACAACCCAGACCGCCAGCUAAGGUCCCAAAGUCAUGGUUAAGUGGGAAACGAUGUGGGAAGGCCCAGACAGCCAGGAUGUUGGCUUAGAAGCAGCCAUCAUUUAAAGAAAGCGUAAUAGCUCACUGGUCGAGUCGGCCUGCGCGGAAGAUGUAACGGGGCUAAACCAUGCACCGAAGCUGCGGCAGCGACGCUGAUGCGUUGUUGGGUAGGGGAGCGUUCUGUAAGCCUGCGAAGGUGUGCUGUGAGGCAUGCUGGAGGUAUCAGAAGUGCGAAUGCUGACAUAAGUAACGAUAAAGCGGGUGAAAAGCCCGCUCGCCGGAAGACCAAGGGUUCCUGUCCAACGUUAAUCGGGGCAGGGUGAGUCGACCCCUAAGGCGAGGCCGAAAGGCGUAGUCGAUGGGAAACAGGUUAAUAUUCCUGUACUUGGUGUUACUGCGAAGGGGGGACGGAGAAGGCUAUGUUGGCCGGGCGACGGUUGUCCCGGUUUAAGCGUGUAGGCUGGUUUUCCAGGC